rnacentral:rRNA from 1 species
AAGGGCACCACAAGAACGCGUGGAGCAUGUGGCUUAAUUUGACUCAACGCGGGAAAUCUUACCGGGUCCGGACACACUGAGGAUUGACAGACAAAUAUUUGAAAUUUUAUAUUUCUCAUAUAUAAAGAUGCUAGUUCUUUCAUGAUUAUGUGAUAGGUGGUGCAUGGCCGUUCUUAGUUCGUGGAGUGAUCUGUCUGCUUAAUUGCGUUUCAAUUUUUAUUAUGUAUACGUAUGACCCACGUUUACGCGUGCGAGUCUAGUAUGCUAUCAUUUGAAAGCAACGAACGUGACCGUAUCCUUUUAUUAUAUACGCACGCGUAUAUUUAUUCAUUAAAGGGACCGCUGUUUCUUUUUUUAAACCAGAGGAAGGUUACGGCAAUAACAGGUCUGUGAUGCCCUUCGAUGUUCCGGGCUGCACACGUGCUACAAUGAUUAUUUCAUUAAGUAUCUACUAUACUGCACAUUAUGUGUAUUAAAACCUACCCUGAGAAUGGGCGGGUAAUCAAUUAGAAGUAAUGAUUUCCUUUUUUUUAUACGCAACUAUGUACCGUAUAUUACAUCCCAUAAUAUUUUUUUAUUAUGCGUGUGUGUUUUAUUACCGUGUACGCGUAAUUGUUAAUUCAUGGUGGGGAUAGACCAUUGUUAAUUGUUGGUCUCGGUCUUAACUAGGAAUGCCUUGUACGGGUCAUUGGUUCAACAAACCACCCGGAAUACGUCCCUGCCCUUUGUACACACCGCCCGUCGCUCUUACCGAUGAACUUCGCUAUGAAUCUGUUGGACUGUAUCCUUUAAUGAAUACGGAAAGAUAUAUGAAUAGUGUGGUUUAAAGGAAAGAGAAGUCGUAACAAGGCAUCCGUAGGUGAACCU